GGAACCACCAUCAGCUUUUAAAACAUCUGAAAGAAGAUCUAACAUCGCCUGCAGGAACCACCAUCGUCUUCUUUCAACACAGGUCCACCAUCCACCUCCCGUCUUUACCUGCAGGAACCACCAUCGGCUUUUAUAACAUCUGGAAGAAGACCUGACACCACCUGCAGGAACCACCAUCAUCUUCUUCCAACACAGUACUGUACAAAAGUCUCGUGCCACUCCUUUUCUUUUCUUUCCAUCUCCAACGUUGACCUUGUCUCGAGCAGUAGUUUCUGUUGCUCAAGACAAGUUCAACUUUUCCUGAAACAUUUUACACCUGGAAUCUUUUCUACGUUCCUCCAUCAUCAGUAGUUCAGGCUUUCUGCAUGUUUGGAGUUUUUCUUUAGACGUUGGCUGCUUUUUAGCUUGUUUUCAGUCCAGUUCUUGGACCUGACUGCUUUAAGAGGAAUGUGUCUUUGUUUUAUUUAUGUUUGUUUGUCCAUAUAUUUAUGUUUGUUUGCCUCUUAACACUGACCUCUGAAUCAUUCAGGUGCAUAAAGGCUUUUAGCUCAAAGGAUGAUCCAGUGUUACGUCGACACAUGACAGAAAACUUAAAACUGAUUUUAAUUUGGAUCUUUAGGCUAUUUGUUAGCCGCCUGCCACGAAGAUAUCAUUAUUCCUUCUGAUUUCUUUGUGAAAUAUGAAAAAUAUCAAAUGUAAAAUAUUUUAACAGGCAUAAAAAAUUGUAUUUUGACCCAACAAGGUUAUUCCCAGAGUUAUCAGCAGAAAACUUGGCAUAUCUCAGCGUGGUAUCCACCAAGCCGCUGGUUCAGCUAUGUGAACUUUCCACUUCUUUUAUUCUCAACCUGUCCAGUUGGUGUGCUGCUUCUGUAUGAGAGUGAUGUUUUAAUUUGAAAUGAACCAGGAUGUCGUGUUUGGAGAAGAUCCUUAGUUUCUAAGACACUCUUGCCACAUAUGGAAUGACAACAUUCUUCUCUGUUCAUGAUGCUUUUCCAGGUGUUUAAGCUGAUUUAAUGAAAGUCCAAUUUGGAUAAACAGGUUUGAAGUGCUUCCUUAAUGUGGUUUUGUUCCUUCAGUUUUCCCUCCGUCCUCAUAGGAACAUUUUCAGCCUGGUGGAGUGAGGUUCUGAUGACGGACACUUUGUGUUCCAGGAGCUGGUGUGAGUCAAAAACUAGAUCCUGGUCUGUGUGGGUUUCUGGUAAACAUCAGUGUUUACCAGAACCCCCCCUCCCCUCAACACACACACACACCAGGAUCUAGUUUUUAACUCACAUCACCCACUGGAUCACAAUCUGCAUGUUGAGGACGGAGGGAAACUUAACAAAACCACAUCAAGGAAGCCAUUUAAGCCUGUCGUAUCUAAACUGAAUUUCAUCAAAUCAGCUACAUUUCUGGAAAAGGCACAAAUGCAGAAGACAGAAAGAACAGGAGGAAGAAUAUUGUCGUUCCAUAUCUGACAGGAGUGACCGAACAUCACUCUCCGACAGAGGCUGCUUCACCCCAAGGACAAAACAGCCAAACACAAGCUGAGUGAUGACGGAGAGUCUUCAGCAACAAAAUCAUGUCUCAGCAUGGUGGACAGUGUGUCCUCAAAUAAACUGGACAAGUUGAUAAUGAAGUUCACAUAUCUGAACUGGUGGUCGGUCUAAAAACUUCUACAGCAUCUGAAAUCCAGCACAGAGCUGAUAGUGGAUCUGAGAUGUGCCAGAUGACGGCAGAACUGGACUGAAAAUCAGUGGUAACAGGUCUGAUGGAGGGAUGAAUCCUCCUCAGAGCCCAGACCUGAAAAUCAUGAAGAAAUGUGGAAUCAUGUUAACAGAGAUCAGAACAAAAAGCAGCCAACGUGUUUAUGUAAAUCUCUGCUUUUUUUCUGCCUUUUUUUUCUCUUUUUCCUGGAGUGGCUCCAGACUUUUGCACAGUACUGUCCCCCAAAGUAAGAAUCCACCUUCCAACCCCGUGUUGGACACACACCAUCAAAUGUUCUUCAUGAUAACUUUUGUAUGUUUAAGAACUCAUUUCUGUGCCACAUGAGUAAACUGUGGAAUUCUCUUCUCUUCUCUUCUUUUCCGGGUGCCGGGGGGUGUCCCGGUGCCCGAGACGUCCUGACUGAGGAGAACAUUGUCAAAUACUGAAGUGAGUGCAUCCAGUUUCCAGCUCGGACCAUUAGAGUCUCCAUCCACUGGGACAGCGCCUGAGAUCACCAUCGAAGCCACUUCACUAAGUUUUACAUUUAGUUUAACUUUUUUAUACAAUUCACCAUUUU